rnacentral:misc_RNA from 1 species
GAUGAAGAACGCAGCGAAAUGCGAUAAGUAGUGUGAAUUGCAGAAUUCAGUGAAUCAUCGAAUCUUUGAACGCACAUUGCGCCCCUUGGUAUCCCGAGGGGCAUGCCUGUUCGAGCGUCAUUUCACCACUCAAGCCUGGCUUGGUGUUGGGCGACGUCCCCUUUGGGGACGCGCCUCGAAACGCUCGGCGGCGUGGCACCGGCUUUAAGCGUAGCAGAAUCUUUCGCUUUGGAAGUCGGGGCCCCGUCUGCCGGAAGACCUACUCGCAAGGUUGACCUCGGAUCAGGCAGGGAUACCCGCUGAACUUAAGCAUAUCAAUAACGGAGGA